rnacentral:other from 1 species
AUCAACCUGCUGUGCGCGUGAUGCUGCGACGUGUUUUGAGCCAACACCCACCUGAAGGGAGCCGCAUCCGGCGGUGCGCGUGAUAGGCCAGAGCCAAGACGCGGCUGACCGGAGAAGCACCCACCUGCGAAAGCAGGUUCAAAUUGCAAUGUUCACACGGCAUAGCGGGCUGUAC